AGUGACUCACAGGGCACUUAGGGAGCAGGAGAGGGCCCAUACCAGAAAGCAAAAUAAUUGUUCUUGGAGGUUUUAGUCUGAAAAUGGAUGCCUAAAAUGGGCUGCUGCUUACCAAAAAGACUGCUACCUACCUUUCCAUAUCUGUUGCCCUUUGAGAGGGGUUGCACAUGUCCCCAGUGUAGGCAUGUGCCUGUUUCGGCAAUAGUGAAGAGAACCUUUUUCCGAAGCAGUACCUGUCAAGGCCAGAGGGGCACGGCCUGCCACUGCCAGCAGUCUAAGAGGAUGGAACCUUCCCCCCUUUCACUUCCUUCUUACCACCUACUCCUAGACUUUAUUAGAGACGGGAAGGAAGGUGGCUUGUAGAAUGGACAUGUGCAGCGUAUUUCAAAGAACAACACUUUUGGAAAAGACUCUGGGUACUGAUGGAAUCGGAGGAAAGGCACGCAGCUGAGAGUUCAUCUGUGAUAGCUGAAAAGCAUCUGUCAAAGACCCAGGUCUGAAAUUCUCUCAGCAGCAGAACAGGAGGCAUUUGUUGCAAACAGGUCCAGCUGGGAAGUUUCCCCAGAGCUGGAAGAUGAGCCUAGCCACAUCUGGACCUAGUGACCAUUCAUGGUGAGGGGACAAAGACCUGCUCAGACAAGGUCAGCUCCCAGACUGCUGCACUGGACAAC